CGCGGGAGUGCGCGAGCCUAGGCUGGCGGGGGCAGCUUGGCUUGGGGAUUAUGGGGUUGCCCUGUUACUCGGUUGUUUCUAAUUGCAAAAUCUUAUAGGCAUUUAAGGAAAAAAAAGUUACUGAAUUACAACAGUGCACUUUUUAUUCCUUAUUUUACCCUGCUCCUGGUACAUAUAACUGUAAUGUACAUAUUCGUUCCACCACAAUUUAUUAAAGUCCUAUUAUGUGCCCCGCAAGCCCUGUUAACGGAAUCGGGAGGAGGUUAUAGCAGUGAACAAAACAGUAAUCUGCUGGAGAUUACGUUUCAAUUCGGAAAGUGAACACUGAAUAACUCAACAAAUCUACAUGCGUUCGUAGAGAUCAGAAGUGUGUGGAAGGGAAAAGUUUGCUCAGAAACUAAAGGAAGGAGGGCGCCCAUUAGUUUGAGAUGCUGAGAAAGUUAACUAUGAAGAGGCCUGUUGAAUUGAGAAGUCAGCUCUGUCGAGAUCUGGAGGAAGAACAACCAAGAGAAGGACCGACAUGUUCGAAAAUUAUGGGGAGGAGAUAAUAUCUGGUGCCGUUGUGAAAGUGAGAAAGGAGGCUGCGGAAAGAACGGAAGAUGCGAUCAACAAGGCAAGCAGAGCCCUGAUCUUGGAGAGCCUUUCUGAGUCAACAUAAACGGCCACAAGUUUGCCUCCGUGGUGGAUAUUUUCCCAUCUCGAUGACUUCAUCUAUUCUCAUGGGACUACCACCGGGGCCAGGAAGAUGGAGAAUUUAUCCUUCAAUUCCCAUUUAUCGCUGACUGAGGGCUAAUUUCCUGGUGCUUAUGGCCCAUCGCUCACAACGAAGAAAUCCCUCAAGUGAAGAGCCACAGGGGCUUCCAGGAGCAGGCUCUGGGCGUAUGCGGGAACAGCCAGUGCUAGUGGAUAUGAGUGCGGGCGCUGCACUCAUCUUCGCUGCAGCCAUGCUGAGGAGGCAGAACUUUGUUCUAAGUGUGUGGGGGCUGGAUGGGGUUGAUUGAGCUAUUGAAUGCAGCAGAGCAGUGCGUUCGUAUUGGAAUUAGAUAUUGCUCUGAUGGGAACUGAAGGGGGAUGGACUCUUCAGUUAGGAAGCUGUGUCUGUAAUCCAGGGGAGAACUCAUGAAUGCACAAACAAGUGCGAUGGUAGGUCAGAUGGAGAGGAAGGGAUGGAUUCAAGAUAUAUUUAGGAGGUAGAACCGACAGGAAAUACAAAAGGAAGGAUAAAUUUGAGGAAUUUCUGCAACCCUAAAAGAACUCUUAACAUUGAGCUAAACUAAAAGUGAAAUCUUCUCUUUCAUAAAGACAGAAUGCCGAUGUGAUCACAAGCUGCCUCAGGGCCUUUGCACGGGCUCUUUGCAGCACAGGCUCUUUCUCUGCUUGCAACAUCUCCCCCCUUCCCCAGUCUCAUGACCCAUUCCCCAGCAUGUUGUGGGUCUAUGCUAAAUAGCCCCUUCUCAAAGAGGCCUUCCAUGACUGCUUAGUAUAAAAUUGCAAGCUACCUUCCCCCCCAUCCUUUCUCCA